rfam:Chaetomium globosum CBS 148.51 scaffold_9 mitochondrial scaffold, whole genome shotgun sequence.
UUUCUUAGGUCACGUAGGCCUUUUUUCGUAGAGAUUCGAAAUUUAUACAACACUGUAUGCUAGAAACUCUACAAUAGCUCGACUAAUUGAUAGACAAUUAGCAGGUAACCUAAUUUAUUAUAAAACUAAUUUAUUAGAAACCUCAGAGACUAUACGUGUUGCAACUUAUUAAGUUGAAGAAAUAGUCCAAAUAACAUAGAAAUAUGUUA